CAUGCAAGUCGAGGGGCAGCAUGUCGUGUGCUUGCACGCGAUGAUGGCGACCGGCGCACGGGUGAGUAACGCGUAUCCAACCUGCCCAUGACCCCGGGAUAGCCCGCUGAAAAGCGGAUUAACACCGGAUGUGGUCGAAAGAGGACAUCUGAUUUCGACCAAAGCUUCGGCGGUCAUGGAUGGGGAUGCGUCUGAUUAGCUUGUUGGCGGGGUAACGGCCCACCAAGGCUACGAUCAGUAGGGGUUCUGAGAGGAAGGUCCCCCACAUUGGAACUGAGACACGGUCCAAACUCCUACGGGAGGCAGCAGUGAGGAAUAUUGGUCAAUGGGCGGAAGCCUGAACCAGCCAAGUAGCGUGGAGGACGACGGCCCUAUGGGUUGUAAACUCCUUUUUUGCGGGGAUAAAGUGCCCUACGCGUAGGGUAUUGCAGGUACCGCACGAAUAAGGACCGGCUAAUUCCGUGCCAGCAGCCGCGGUAAUACGGAAGGUCCGGGCGUUAUCCGGAUUUAUUGGGUUUAAAGGGAGCGCAGACGGCUUCUUAAGCGUGCAGUCAAAUACGGAGGCUCAANCUUCGUCAGCUGCGCGAACUGGGGAGCUUG
rnacentral:rRNA from 1 species